GUGGCUGCAUGAUUUAGGCGGGAUUCAAUCCCAGGAGUGCUUUUAGUGACACGUGACUAAAACUUUGAUUGGAGCGACUACUGUCUGUUCUUGCAUUGGACAUGUACGAAUCACGUGGUGCAAAUAAGAACGCGUGUCUGUGGCAGUGCAGGAGCAGUCAGUCAUACCCCCUUUCCUCAGCAAAUGAGUGACCUACUGAUCUUAGCGUUCGGACACAACUGUUUGUUUCGAUGUUUUUCUCAUUGGAGAUAAAGCGACCCUGCGGUCCCACACUUUUGAGGUACUGUAUAUUACCAAACUGAAUACCAUAUGUCAGCAGAUCUGCAACCUGUCACAGACUGGUAUUAUACAUCUUCAAGUUUAAACAACAGCUGCUCUUAAGUAAAAAUCUAUGGUUUCUAUGAGGAUGAUGCUACAAAAUCUGUGAUGAUGGUGCACUGCCUCUCCAGAGCAGGGUCGCAGGGAAACUGGAGCCUAUCCCAGUAUGCACCAGGAGCAAGGCAGGAACACACCCUGGACAGAGCAUUGACAAAUCACAAGGUACUCCAGUUUCCUACCAUGUCCCACAAUCAUGCAAGUUGGAUGUUUCAUUGGUGAUUUUAACUUGACCUAAUGUGACAGGACAGUAGAUGGGUGGUUAAAGAAGGGUUGCCUGUGAUUGAUUGACCUUUUGUCAGGGGUUCAUUACUGCUUUGACAAAUGUUAUCAAAACAGGUGGAGGUUAAAUACAAGCCUAUGUAAUAAUGUGUUGUAGAAAAUGAACAAAUGAAUAUUCUUCUGUUAAAUAAAAUAUCCAUUAAGUUCCAUACCCAUCACAAAACAUAUAAUACUUAACUUUAUUGCUAAAUAAAAUUGUUUAUCUUGUAAUAAUGAAUUCUAAAAUAAUUACAUAACUACAAAUUCCCAAGAAAAUUUGAUUGAGGCCAUUUUUGAAAGUAAAAGAAUAACCAAUCAUAAUUAAGUUAAAACUCAUCAUCAUGCAAUAUUUUUAAUGCAAAAAUUAUUGUGCUAAUUUCAGUCCUGAAACAGGAUUUAUAUUUUUAUAAUGUGACCCACACUACUCCUGUCUUUUAAAUGCCUUAUUCAAUACCUCUUGCAACAAUCUGGAGAAAACUGAACAUCAGUUCAAUGAAUAUUUAUGGAAGUCAGUUUUCAAACAAUAUGACAAAGCACAGUUUUGCUUUUAUUGCGAUUACAACAAUAUCAUCAUAAUGAAAAAGAACUAUUCAUUUGCAGUUUAAGAACUGUAUUCAGAAUAAAACAUUUACAUUCUUCCUCAACUUUACAAACCACCUAAAUUAUAUGUAUUUGAUUCAAUUUUUUCAACAUUAUACCUCCCACAGAAUCUCACUUUUUACUAACAAAAAUUGAUUAAAGAGAUGACUGAAAAAUAUGUAACAAACAAGGACAUGUAAGUUGUCUUUUGUAGUAAAGCACAAAAAAACUCUUGAGGACCCUUUC